UACAGAGGUCUCAAGCGUUGUUCGGAUUCAUUGGGCGUAAAGGGUGCGUAGGCGGCGCGGUAAGUCGGGUGUGAAAUCUCGGGGCUUAACUCCGAAACUGCAUUCGAUACUGCCGUGCUUGAGGACUGGAGAGGAGACUGGAAUUUACGGUGUAGCGGUGAAAUGCGUAGAUAUGUGGAGGAACACCGAUGGCGAAGGCAGCCCCCUGGGCCGACACUGACGCCUCAGGCACGAAAGCGUGGGGAGCAAACAGG
rnacentral:rRNA from 1 species